AAAAUAAUAAUAAUAAAAUAAAAACACAAAAAGAAACCAAAAACAAACAAAUAAAUUAAAUAAUGAAAUAAUUAAAUACAUAAAUGUAGGGGGCUGCAUUUCCUUUUCAUUUUUUGUUUCGGGAGAUUAACAAUGUCUCACCCCAUAUGCAUGCUGGAUUCUAUCAUCAACCACAUGCUCAUCAAUGGCUCUGAAAUAAUAAAGACAUUGUGAGCUAAAUAUUUACUCCAAAGUGAGCUGCAAGUCAUGUAAAAGGAGCACUGACAAUUGUAAAAUCCUGGACAACUCCCCUGACACCUUCUUGUUGAUGUGAAUCCAGACAGCGAGCUCUGAAGUGGUGCACUUUCAUGGCAGAAAAAAAAGACGCCUGCUCCUAUGGCAACAGAAGAUCAGUUAAAUGAAGACAAACAGGAGGCCUCUGAACCUCCACCCACGCACGCGGAUGUGCAUUUAAUGACAGUUGCUGCUGGUCAAGCUGCUCGGCUCUCAGGCUUACAAGACAUUCUGUAAAUGUUUGAACAGAAGACGUCUGGAGAGACUCCGGCCUGCAGGCUGAUGGUUUUUGGAUCACAUGCAAUGUAUAAUUUUAAGCUUGCUUAGAGUGUGCCAGCAUGGAACUCUGAGCGGCAUUACAGAUGCAAGUCAGUUCUUAAUGUCAAAUGCUCUCCAGUUUUUCUAUUAGGGUUAAGGCUCUAACAAUUAAAGAAGAAACCGAUUGUGUGGUCUGAAACUGCAA